AGUAACAAUGUCCUUAAUUGAUAAAAAUUUAAUUAUUUCAAAAUUAAAUUGAAUUAUUUGCUGCAAAUGUGGCACUAUUAGUUUCGGAAUCACUUCCGUAUUGUGGGCUUAGAAGCACCAUAUUUCUAAACGUGUCACCAGAACAAAUCACUUCGCCAAUACCUGUGGCACUAGCCUAAUUAGGGCACUGCACUCAAAUAACUAACAAAUUCGUAGGGUUUAUGAGAUAAUUUAAUUCGAUAAUUCGGCACCUCUGCAUUAUCACGAUUAAACUGACAAAUUUUUCAAUACAAACUUAAGUUACACCACCUCAAACACAAUUAUUUCGAUUUCUUAAUUAAGCUUUGUUUAUUUAUUCUGAGUCAUAAUGAGGUUGGAAACGUGACAAAACAUAGAAAAUGAUGACCCGGUCAACUCUCCCCUUGAUAAAUGUUUAAUCUGAAUAGAAUUAAAACUCAGUUUCUUACAAUUGUGAAUAUUAACAUUUACCCGCAAAUAUAUGGCGACAAUUUUAAAAAUUAUAUCGGAAUUUUUAAUAUAUAAAUAUUUACUUUUAAACAAAAUUCGCAUUCGUGCCUUUAUACAUACAAUAAAUUUACAACUGGCAUCACUUUCUAUAUGGAAACAGAAAAGAGAUCAGUGCUUACAAGUGUUAAUUUGGGUCCCAUUUUUAAUUAUUUCAGUAUCUAUAUAAACAGAGUCGAUUCUAACACCACUUCACUCCUCUUCUUCUAUUGAAAAUACAAGAUUGAAAAUCAAUUUAUUAAUUCUCUCUGCAAAUAUGAUGAUAUCACAUUUCUUUAUUAUUAUAAAUCUUGCCGCACAUGUCAUUUGCCAUCCUCGUGUUGCGGACGAGAAGGGAGAGGUUUGCAACAAAAGUGGUGCAGUAUGUUUAUCCAAUGCAGAAUGCUGUCCUAACCAGGAAUUCCAUCGUUUAAACGUCAAUUGCCUUCAAUGUUAUCCUAUUUGUAUGACAAAAAAAAUUUGAAACGGAAAUAAAACUUCGUGAUAAUAUGUAGUACGUAUAACUAUUCUAUGUCAUGUACAAUAAAGUA